UGAUGUUCAUCUCCAUAUUUAAGGGUCUAUCCAAGGUGGGAAAGAUGGUGGAUUUGACUGAACGACGGUUGGACUGGAUAUAUUUGGCUCGAUUUGAUAGAGCAACAUGUAACAUGUAAAUAGGUUAAUACCUUACUUUCAUUUACUGCUGCUUUGGUUUUUUUAUAAAUGCGUGUGAAGGAGACAAGAAAAUCAACAAGACAGGGAAACCUGUUCCUUCCAGGAGCGAAUUCGAAGAUAUUGAGAGUUGAGACAUGAAAAGAAAACUGUGAACUUGCCUCGAAGGAUUGGAGUAAUUUCAAGAUCCCAACCGGAAUCUUGCCCAGCUCUAUUGGCCAAAAAAUUCUUUGCCAUGAUGAAGGUGUCCAAAUCUUGCAUGGGUGGAGCGGAUGGAAGAGUGACUAAAGGAGAAGAACAUGCUAAGAUGAACAUUGACCAAGUUUACUAGCAUUGGACCGAGGAAACUUAUCAACCAUGGCAAUAAUUAAAGCAAAAGUGAGGGAGCUCCCUGAUCAAAGCUAACUGAAUAGAGCAGAAGCCUGGAAGAGUGUGUAAUGGCUUUAUUCACACAUGUAACCUUUAAACCCAAGUUUGACCUCUUGCUUUACGCAUUUGCAGUGAUACUGUGCACCCUCAAAUCAUGAUGACCUCAAGCAGACUGUGCAUGUGCACUGAUGGUUAAAAUAUGGAGAGAAAAGUCCAAAAAGAAAGCAUCAAAUGAAAAAAUGGGAAAAUUUAUGCAAUAUCUGAAGAGUAGCAUGAAAUUUACACUUGGAAGGUAUUGGAUUUGCAAGACUAUCACGCGAUCCGCUUUCUACGUGAAGUUUUGGAACGACUCUGAAAUUCUAAAUCCUGUAGAGCAAAAUUUUUCGGUUAUCUGAUGUGAAUCUGUCUAACCAGAUAUCAAAUAGUUCACUUACCUGAUAGGUAAAACAAAAGCUUGGAUAAUGACCUAUGAAAUGGAAGAUUUUCCAACACUGAGAACAUUGUUUCCUCUCCAGACACUUUUACGAUAAUUACUUUUUGACCAAUAAUCAGAUCAUCGACACUAUCACCUUGUCGCUUUCAAUCGACGUUGAUAUCCCUAACAAUUCCUCAAUGACUGCAGUCUUGAAAGAAGUUGCUCAUCUUGAAAGACAUCUUAAGAUAACACAUUUAUGAAUUGGACAGAAUUGUAUUGAAUUGUUCUUUCCAUUGUUUUACUACAUAAAUAACUUGAAAUAAAACAACAUUAAAGAGAUGAAA